UCAUGACUCCACACAAACUUAUAUAUUUUUCCUUUUUAUUUAAUUUAUAUAUAAGAAAAGUAUAACAAGGACUGAUGAUGAUCUCUCCAUUAUAAUAGAUAGAAACAUAUAUAUUCAGAAGCUAGCAUAAAGAAAAAGAAAAGAAAAGAUUCACAAGAAAAGUGUGAUUGAUUGACUGAUUGAUUGAUAAGCCCGGUUAUUAUUAUUUGGUACUAUUCUUAGAUAUUUUGCUUGCUGUUUUAGCUAAGUCCGGUACGGCUGGACAGGUCAGUAAUUUCACAUUACAGAUACCUAUCUUUGGAGCGCGCAGACACAUACGAUGGGCUGAGGGUCGCUGUUGCAUCGCAAGCCCAGUCUAGUCCAACACGUAAGUAUACGUACAUAUACAUGCUAUAUAUAAAAUAUAUAAAGCAUCUCUAUCUGUACGUGCACAGCCACUUUUCUUUAAUUUAAUUUAUUUAGAUUAGAUUCGAUUUUGGAUUUGGAUUAGCAAAAACUUAAACUAUAUAUAACAUAAAUAUAUGCGCUUAUGAGUCACGACUAACGACUUAUCUAAUAUGUAACCAUCCAACUUAUUAUUAAGAGAAUUUUCUAGACAUGUUCUCCCUAUCUCUAAAAAGAUGAACUUGAAACAUUUUGAGUUUGACCAUAGGAUUGUAUUCUUUUUGGCAUAAAUAAAGGUACUGAGUAUCAUCCUAUAUAUUCAAAAACAUGGCCAAAUUAUUAUGGUAUGCCCCAAUAUCGAAUAUAUCCAGCGUAGUUGGCAGGUUUCUUCUUGAACUAGGUUUAUUCAAAUCUUCGACUCGACAUAGGUGUCUGUAGUUUCUUUGAUUUAUCCUAAGUGUUAAUGACAUUAUUAUUCUUGUGGAGAUGCUCAUUAGGUAGGAUAAGUAUACAUGCAUAUAUAUAACCAUCUACAUAUGUACUCCCUCAUUCUAAUAAAUCAUAAGUCCUUCUAAAUUUUCUAGGUAUAUAUAUUUUGCUACCAGAACGACUUACAAUUUGGAAUGGAGAAAUUACGUGGUUCAGAAAAAAAACCCAACCAAACAGACGGUUACUAGUAGCUUAUUAUUGUUUAUAUUUUUUUGACAAAGAUUGUUUAUAUAUUUGGACUUGAAUUAGUCAUGUGUUCAUGAUCUUACCUCUCUAGCCUAGCUAGGGCCUAGGAGCAGGUAAAAGGGGAUAAAAAGCGGGAUUUUUUUUAUAUCUUUUUUCAAUAAAGCCGAGUAAGAGGGGGUUGCACCCCUCUUGUUUCUUAUUAAAAAAGGGUGCCCUUGGGUGUUGGAAAUGGGCUUAUCAAUCUUACAAGAAUAGCCACUUGAUUUGAAUUCAAAGGAAAGGAAGAAAAAGAGAAAAUAUCUUUUGUUCGAUCUUGUGGCAUGCAUGCACAGAUGCAUGGUGCAUGCGCAGUGUAGCCAAGUUGCAUUGCAUUGCAUGGCAUCGAUCUCUGAAUGCGAGAUGUAUAGUAGGUGUAUGUUCUGCAUCAUCUCCUUUUCAGCAUUGAAGAUGGUAUAAAUCAACGUCGCGUCUCUACAAUGAGGCGGCUGUCGCUGCCGCGUAUAUGCAUGGUUAGUUAGUUACGUACACGUAUGUACUUGAGAUGCGACAAAUCACAUGUCUUGUAUUUAGGCCCUGUUUAAAUGCACUGAUAGAUCCAGAAAUUUAUAAGAUUUCUCGUCACAUCGAAUCUUAUAGCACACAAAAUAUUAAAUAUAAAUUAAAAAAUAAUUAAUAUCACAGUUUAUCUGUAAAUAACGAGACGCGAAUCUUUUAAGCCUAUUUAGUUCAUGGUUGAAUAAUAUUUAUCAAACAAAACAAAAGUGCUACAGUACCAAAAUUCUAAAAAAAUAGAUGUAAACAAGGCCUUAGUAUAGCUGUAUGCAUGCUAGCUGCUAUUAUUAUUAGCGGUAUAGUUAUAAGGCUUGUUUAGUUUACCCUAAAAUCCAAAAAAAUUCAAAGACUUUUUAUCAUAUCGGAUCUUGCGGCACAUGCAUAGAGUAUUAAAUAUAGAUAAAAAACUAAUUAUAUAGUUUGUCUGUAAUUUGUAGGAUGAAUCUUUUGAACCUAGUUAGUCCAUGAUUGGACAAUAAUUACCAAAUACAAACGAAAGUGCUACAAUACCCAAAACAAAAAAAUGCCAACUAAACGGGCCAUAUAUGUGCUUUGUUGCUGCUCUCAGCAUAAACUUAUCAAUCUCUAAGCAACAAGAAUUAAUUUCUCGCGAAAGUUAGUGCUGAAUAAAUUGACGAACGGUAAGAUAUCGGUGUAUGGACCUAUUUGACCAAACUAGCUAAUUGUUACUUCCUCUAUUCCAAACUAUAAUAUGUUUUGACUUUUCUAGACAUAGUGAUAUUUAAUACGGAGUAAGUACAUAAAAGAACUAAGUAUAUAAAAUGGACAAAACGUUUUAUGAUUUCAAAUAGAGGGAGUAGCUGUUACCUGGUCAAAUGUUUCCUCUAUUCCAGGUUCCAGCUAAUUAAUAACUUGUAUUAAUUAGCUAAAUAGUGCUAAUUAAUAAUUUUUCAUUAGCUAAAUAACUUAUUUUGAGCUAUUGUUGGACUAUUAGCUAAAGAUGUUUGGAUACACGAGAGCUAAUCUUAGAAGCUACAGUACAAUUAGUUUAUGAGAUUCAAACAGACCAACCCUGUGCUGUGCAUAGGUAGGGUGAGAUGAUUCUUCACGGUUACGGGAAUCUGCUGGUAGGUCGUCGUCCCGUCAUCACGGACGGUGAUAUGCACGACCGGACUAAAAUGGUCAAUUCAGGCCUUGUUCAUUUCGCAAAAUUUUUUGAAUUUCGAUAUUGUAGCAUUUUCGUUUUUAUUUGACAAACAUUGUCCAAUCAUAGAGUAACUAGACUUAAAAGAUUCGUCUCACGAUUUACAGAUGAACUGUGUAAUUAGUUUUUGUUUUCACGUGUAUUUAAUGCACUAUGCAUGUGACGCGAGAUUUGAUUUUAUAGGAAUCUUAAAAACUUUUGGAGAACUAAACAAG
rnacentral:lncRNA from 1 species